rnacentral:pre_miRNA from 1 species
CGAACCUGGACAUCGUUUUGUACACGAAGUCAAGCUGCUGUACCCGUGAUUCCAUGUAUCGAG